UGCAAGCGUUACUCGGAAUUACGGGGCGUAAAGCGUGCGUAGGUGGUUCGUUAAGUCUGCCGUGAAAGCCCCGGGCUCAACCUGGGAAUUGCGGUGGAUACUGGCGGACUAGAGUGCGGUAGAGGGUGGUGGAAUUCCCGGUGUAGCAGUGAAAUGCGUAGAGAUCGGGAGGAACAUCUGUGGCGAAGGCGGCCACCUGGACCAGCACUGACACUGAGGCACGAAAGCGUGGGGAGCAAACAGG
rnacentral:rRNA from 1 species